rnacentral:ncRNA from 1 species
CCAAAGGCGGCCGCAGACGGUGCCUCUGUCCGAUGGACGGCGGUGAAAAGGGAAGUCGGUGCGAAACCGGCGCUGUGCCCGCAACUGUAAGCCGGAAGUUCCGGACCGGAAAUGUCACUGGCAGCGCGUUCAUGCGCGGCUGGGAAGACGGGUCUAGCGAGCGAUGAUCGGCGAGCCAGGAGACCUGCCGUCGCGUCGUUCGUCCG